GGUCCCACCUGACCCCAUGCCGAACUCAGAAGUGAAACGCCGUAGCGCCGAUGGUAGUGUGGGGCCUCCCCAUGCGAGAGUAGGGAACUGCCAGGC
rnacentral:rRNA from 4 species